AAAAGCUAAUAAGGGCACACGGAGGAUGCCUAGGCAGCAACAGCCGAUGAAGGACGUGAUAAGCUGCGAUAAGCCGGGAGAAGAUGCACAUAAUCAUUGAUCCCCGGAUUUCCGAAUGGGUAAACCUGCAUGCCUGGAGGGCAUGCGUGAAAACGGCAAGCCUGCGAACUGAAACAUCUAAGUAGCAGGAGGAAAAGAAAGUAAAAACGAUUCCCCAAGUAGCGGCGAGCGAACAGGGAAAAGCCUAAACCGUGCCAGUGUCAAGCGGACAGCGUUGCUGGCACGGGGUUGCGGGACUUCCAUUAACGGAUUGUCAUAAUGUUUAAUCUGUACAUGUGUAAGUGGAAUCAGUUGGGAAGCUGAACCAGAGAAGGUGAAAGUCCUGUAGAACAUAAAGCAUAUGUGGAGACUGGAAGCACCCGAGUAGCGUCAGGCACGAGGAAUCUGGCGUGAAUCAGCGUGGACCAAAUCACGUAAGGCUAAAUACUGUUGUUGACCGAUAGUGAAGAGUACCGUGAGGGAAAGGUGAAAAGAACCCUGAGCAAGGGAGUGAAACAGAAUUUGAAACCGUGUGCUUACAAACGGUAGGAGCACAUUAUGUGUGACUGCGUGGAUUUUGGUUAAUCAUCCUGCGAGUUAUGGCUGGUGGCAAGGUUAAUAGACGGAGCCGAAGGGAAACCAAGUCUUAAUAGGGCGUCAAGUCGCCAGUCAUAGACGCGAAACCUAGUGAUCUAGGCCUGUCCAGGCUGAAGCUGAGGUAAGACUCAGUGGAGGGCCGAACUCACCGCCGUUGAAAAGUUGGGAGAGUAUGAUCUAGGGGGCGUACUGCUUACCGAAAUCAAGCAAACUGCGAAUACCAUAUAUCAUGUUCAGGAGUGAGUCCGUGGAUGACAAGGUCCUCGGACGAGAGGGGAACAGCCCAGACCGCCAGCUAAGGUCCCUAAUUAUGUCUAAGUGGGAAAGGAGGUGGACAUUCAUAGACAACCAGGAGGUUGGCUUAGAAGCAGCCAUGCCUUGAAAGAGUGCGUAAUAGCUCACUGGUCGAGAGUGCCUGCGCCGAAGAUGUAACGGGGCUAAGACAUAAACCGAAGCUGCGGAAGAUACACUGUAUCUUGGUAGGAGAGCGUUCUGUAGGCCGUCGAAGGGAUGCCGCAAGGCCGUCCUGGAGGUAUCAGAAGCGAGAAUGCAGGAAUGAGUAGCGAGAAGGCGGGCGAGAAUCCCGCCGGCCGGAAGUCCAAGGUUUCCAGGGGAAGGCUUGUCCGCCCUGGGGAAGUCGGGACCUAAGCAUAAGCAAAAUUGUGAUGGCGAAUGGAAAACAGGUUAAUAUUCCUGUACCGCUGUUAUCGCUUGAGAGACGGAGUGACGCAGGAAGGUAUGCGAGAAGGCUGACGGUUUAGCCUUUCUAAGGGCCCAGCGUGGGCGUGCAGGUAAAUCCGCACGCCUAAACGUGAGACCUGACGGGGAAGUGCAUUUGCAUAAGUCGCAGAUCCUACACUGCCAAGAAAAACUUCUAUCGAUGAGAAGCAGCGCCCGUACUGUAAACCGACACAGGUGGACAGAGUGAGAAACUUAAGGCCGACAGGAUAACUCUAGCUAAGGAACUCUGCAAAAUAGCCCCGUAACUUCGGGAGAAGGGGUGCCUGACAUACCUGAAGGAGAGAAGCGCUCCCAGGGGAAACAGGCCGCAGUGAAGAGUCUCAAGCAACUGUUUACCAAAAACACAGGUCUAUGCUAAGCUGAAAGGCGACGUAUAUGGGCUGACACCUGCCCAGUGCUGGAAGGUUAAGAGGAGGAGUGAGAGCUCCGAUUUGAAGCCCCGGUGAACGGCGGCCGUAACUAUAACGGUCCUAAGGUAGCGAAAUUCCUUGUCGGGUAAGUUCCGACCUGCACGAAUGGUGAAAUGAUUU
rnacentral:rRNA from 1 species